UCCAAAUAUUAGAUAGCAAUAUAGGCUUUGC
rnacentral:piRNA from 1 species